AACCAGGGGAUGCUGUAGAAUGUUUUAGCUUGUGCAUCUAGUCACCAUGACUACAUAAUUUAAGAAACUAACGAAUCGGUGAAUCAUCAUUCAAAGCCAACCGUUUUCUCUGUUGGGUUGAUUCCCAUUUUGAGCCUCUGCCUGAACGUCAUCAUGGGCAACUUGGUACUUGGCAGCGGUUCAGUUCAGCCCCGGUCAGGCGAGAGCGAAUGGGAUUCAUCGCUGACCGAUUGCAGCACGGGCGUGCCGUGCCUUAUGUGUGUCCAGACAUUCCUUUGCACAGGUUUAACGGUCGGUCAGGUAUCAGAGCAGUAUGGUGAAGGCUUUGGCCUCGCAUUCACACCUAUGUCCCAGGUUAUGCUUCGAACUGAGCUGCGGGAGAGAUACAACAUCAAGGGUAGCAUAUGCAAGGACGUUUGUGCCAGUAUAUGUUGUGGACCAUGCACCGUUCUUCAGAUGUACAAAGAAGUGGACAAGAGGCACCCGUAUUGAGAGCCUUGGCCGUACAGCUAAACUGUGAGGAAAAUAAAAUGUACGCCCGAAAAGAGA